rnacentral:pre_miRNA from 1 species
AUGUGGUGAAGGCAGCAAGUCGCGGGUUGUUGUUGGCGAAAUGGUUCUGUUGGUUGAAUGGAAGAGUAGCUGAAGGAACAGUUUUGGUCGAAGAAGAGAAUCCUGAUGAUGCUGCAACACAGAGC